GCUUAACACAUGCAAGUCGAACGAACCUUCGGGUUAGUGGCGGACGGGUGAGUAACGCGUGAGAAUCUGCCCUCAGGAGGGGGAUAACGGCUGGAAACGGCCGCUAAUACCCCAUAUGCCGAGAGGUGAAAUGAAUUUCGCCUGAGGAUGAGCUCGCGUCUGAUUAGCUAGUUGGUGGGGUAAGAGCCUACCAAGGCGACGAUCAGUAGCUGGUCUGAGAGGAUGAUCAGCCACACUGGGACUGAGACACGGCCCAGACUCCUACGGGAGGCAGCAGUGGGGAAUUUUCCGCAAUGGGCGAAAGCCUGACGGAGCAACGCCGCGUGAGGGAUGAAGGCCUCUGGGCUGUAAACCUCUUUUCUCAAGGAAGAAGACCUGACGGUACUUGAGGAAUAAGCCACGGCUAAUUCCGUGCCAGCAGCC
rnacentral:rRNA from 1 species